UCCGGUGGAUAGAGAUGGGCACGCGCAAGAUUAGAUAGUUGGUGAGGUAACGGCUCACCAAGUCUGCGAUCUUUAGGGGGCCUGAGAGGGUGAUCCCCCACACUGGUACUGAGACACGGACCAGACUCCUACGGGAGGCAGCAGUGAGGAAUAUUGGACAAUGGGUGAGAGCCUGAUCCAGCCAUCCCGCGUGAAGGAUGACGGCCCUAUGGGUUGUAAACUUCUUUUGUAUAGGGAUAAACCUAGAUACGUGUAUCUAGCUGAAGGUACUAUACGAAUAAGCACCGGCUAACUCCGUGCCAGCAGCCGCGGUAAUACGGAGGGUGCAAGCGUUAUCCGGAUUUAUUGGGUUUAAAGGGUCCGUAGGCUGAUGUGUAAGUCAGUGGUGAAAUCUCACAGCUUAACUGUGAAACUGCCAUUGAUACUGCAUGUCUUGAGUGUUAUUGAAGUAGCUGGAAUAAGUAGUGUAGCGGUGAAAUGCAUAGAUAUUACUUAGAACACCAAUU
rnacentral:rRNA from 1 species